AACUUCUCCAGAGGCUGCUGGAGGCCUCCCCUAUCUUGCCGAAGUGGCCUCGGAUCUCUCCGGCCACAGGCCCUCUUUUCUGGGAGGGCACCUCUUCGUCACAAUGGCAGCCACCUCCCAGGGCUCCCAGCCAUGCCCAGAGGGAAAGGGGAUGGGCCACUCAGGGCCCUCUUUCACUUCUGUUGGCACUACAGAGAAGCCGCUGCCAGGGGCAUCCAGGCUAGACCCAGGUUCCAGAGGCUUUCUGGGUGUGCUUCUCUGCCCUGAGCUGCUCUGGGGCGAGGGGGACGGAGAAUCUACAGAGCAAGUGCAGACCUGGGCUUCCCCAUACCCCAGUCUCAUGCUCUGUUUGUGGCCAGAGGGACCCAGAAAGCUCCAGGGGCAAUCAUCCCCCUUGGGUCCAUGAUGGACAAGGAAGAGGUUCCAGGGGAAAGGCUUCAAGACCCCAGACACUCUCUUCCCCACCCUCCACCCCCAGAAAGCCAAAGGCAUCAAAACACCAACAGUGUCUGAUAUGAGGCAGAGACUUGAGAGUGAAGCCAGAGCAUUCACCAGAGCAGAGUGAUGUUGCGUUAGUACUAGUGUGGUGUUUAAAUAUAAUAAUUAAUCCCAAAGUAA